rnacentral:rRNA from 1 species
GAUGAACGCUGGCGGCGUGCUUAACACAUGCAAGUCGAACGGAAAGGCCCUGCGUUUGUGGGGUGCUCGAUUGGCGAAGGGGGGAGUAACACGUGAGUAACCUGCCCUUGUCUUUGGGAUAACUUCAGGAAACUGGGGCUAAUAUCGGAUAGGAUCUCCUGCUGCAUGGUGGGGGUUGGAAAGUUUCGGCGGUUGGGGAUGGACUGGCGGCUUAUCAGCUAGUUGGUGUGGUAGUUGCUUACCAAGGCUUUGACGGGUAGCCGGCAUGGGAGGGUGACCGGGCACAUGAGGACUGAGAGACGGCGCAGACUGCAAUGGGAGGCAGCAGGGGGAAGUAUGACACAGUAAGCGGGAGCCUGAUACGAAGACGCCGGGUGCGGAAAGACCGGCUUCUGGGUAUGAACAGCUUUCGCCUGUGACGAAGCGGGAGUGACGGUACCGAAUAAAGAAGCACCGGCUAACUACGUG